AAAAGCUCGUAGUCGGGAUUUUGGCAUCACGCCGCACUGUCUGCCGAUUGGUAAGUACGGUUUGGCGGGUGCUUCCUUCCGGUGCUGCGUUCUGCUCUUAAUUGAGCGGUUCGUUGGUUCCGGUUCUUUUACUUUGAGAAAAUUAGAGUGUUCAAAGCAGGCCUAUGCUCUGAAUAGGUUAGCAUGGAAUAAUAGAAUAGGACUUUGGUUCUAUUUUGUUGGUUUCUAGGACCGAAGUAAUGAUUAAUAGGGACAGUUGGGGGCAUUCAUAUUCCAUUGUCAGAGGUGAAAUUCUUGGAUUAACGGAAGAUGAACUUCUGCGAAAGCAUCUGCCAAGGAUGUUUUCAUUGAUCAAGAACGAAAGUUAGGGGAUCGAAGACGAUCAGAUACCGUCGUAGUCUUAACCAUAAACUAUGCCGACUAGGGAUGUGGAGGCGUUAACUUUGUACGACCCUCCAUGCACCUUAUGAGAAAUCAAAGUCUAUGGGUUCCGGGGGGAGUAUGGUCGCAAGGCUGAAACUUAAAGGAAUUGACGGAAGGGCACCACCAGGAGUGGAGCCUGCGGCUUAAUUUGACUCAACACGGGAAAACUUACCAGGUCCAGACAUAGUUAGGAUUGACAG
rnacentral:rRNA from 1 species